rnacentral:rRNA from 1 species
GACGUAGGUGGCGAACGUUAUCCGGAAUUAUUGGGCGUAAAGGGUGCGUAGGCGGCCUAAUAAGUUAUUGGCGGGAAAUCGAGGCUCAACCUCGUGGAAACUGAUAAUACUGUUUUGCUUGAGUACAGGAGAGGUUAACGGAACUCCAUGUGGAGCGGUAAAAUGUGUAGAUAUAUGGAAGAACAUCAAUAACGGCGAAGGCAGUUAACUAUUCUGUUACUGACGUUGAGGCACGAAAGCGUGGGGAGCAAAAAGG